GCCAGACCUCCGUUAGCACCUGCGGCUUCUCGGUGGAGCCCCGGGGCCAGCUCCCGGAGGAGCUGCGGGCUGUCGGGGGCCCCUUUCCUGUCUCAGCAUCCAAGUGAACACCAGACACUUCUCUCUGGCGGACCACAGAGUAGUGCGGGAAACACCUAUCAACAGGCUGCGGCCGUGGGCCGAAAACCACGACGCAGUUCGGCGGGGAUCGGUGUGAGGACGCGCGCAGAGUGAACGCGGGCGGCGGGCUCGGGCUUCGGGCUUCGGGCUUCGGGCUUCGGGCUUCGGGCUUCGGGCUUCGGGCUUCGUUGCGGACGCCCGGAGGAAGGCCCUGGGUUUAAGCAGACCCAAAGGACGGUCUGGCUGCUAAAGACUCAGAGAAGUGCUAGACUGGGUUAAUGGAGGUGGCUUAGGGGGCCCGGGGAGGACGGAGUGACCCCACAGUGAUCGGAGCAUAUCUGGAUUUUUAUUUUUUAUUUUUUUUUUUGGAUGAGUGUCACAUUUUAAGAGGGGCGUUAGCAGGCUGGAGCAACAUUGGGGGAAGGGGCAACGAUUGUAACCUGUUGGUGCCCUCACCCUGGGCUGGGCACCGUGGGGAAUAUGAAGAACACCACCGGGCCCAGGGGAGCAAGCGGCAAGGAGCAUGGGGUCUGCUGCAGACCAUAUACUAUCAUAAAUGGUAGAAUAACAGGAAUAUGAUAGAGGUAAGAAACUGCUGCAGAAGAGUAAGGAAAGAGCAAUUACUGUUGAGACACGGUAUCAGCUCUACACAUCCUUGAAUUCACUUCUGUCCACAGGAUGUAAGUCCCGCGGGCCUCUGAACGCAAGUCAACUACUACUUCUGACUCUGUGAGAGAGUGUGUAGUUUGGAUGCUUGUUAGACCUGUGCAGAAGACUUGAUGUCAGACUCUCGCUGUAGGGUUGCUGUAGUAGAGGAGAGAGCUCUGCUCCCAACACAGCAACACCGCUGAGAAUUGAUAGCCAACAGCAGAGUGAGGGGCUGCAGUGCUGUGACAUCAACCCCCAUCCUCCCGGUGAGCAUUCACUGCUCCUUCCUCUGGGCUCUCAGAGCUCGUUCUUCACACCCAGGCUGUAGCUCAAUGGUACUGCGUUGUUCCUGACCGGACUGUUGGAUCCUCAGGAGGAGACUCCUUCAACCAGCUGCGGCCAACUGCUUGUGAGAAAGCAAAACUGCGAGUUGCUGUAGAUGCCCAGAAGCAGCCUAAGGAAGAGGCGACAGUGAAACAACUAUUUCAUUACCGUCUCGAUUAGUCCUCGGACAGAAGGUCCCGGACGCGGUGGGCCAGUGUAACUCCGAGACCCGACCCUAUAGAGGAGUCAGAGGUUUCUCGGCCAGAGUGAUGUUGGAACCAAAUCCUGAAUGAGAAAUGGGAGUGCACAGAUGGAGGGGCAAGGGGACAGCAUUCCAGGCCCAGAGGGAGUAGCACCCUUGUGAGCCAGGAGUGAAUCCAUGAUGGUGACUGAGGCCUGAGGGAGGUGGGGCUAGAUGGGGCAGGACCCUGCCAGCUGCCCAGAGGCCUGGUGUGUUGGCUUACUUUUAAUCUUAACAGGAAUAAGAAAGCCCAGAAAGUUUCAGACUAGGAGCUGAUGGAUUCAGGGUUUUAGAGAGAUUUUCUGCCUUCUGGCCUGGAGGACGGCCGGCCCAGUGAGACCGCUAUCACAGUGAAGAACACAUUUCACUCCGGAGCCUGGUGAUACGCUGCUUUCAGAGAACAGUGUGUGUCCUUGAAACGGGACAGAGCUUCACUCCCUGCUCUCUUUAUUUUUUAUUGUAUUCUACUUCAGUGUUAUAAAAAUCCUGGUCUUGACCCACUAAUGAGAGCUGCGACUCAGUUUGUAAAAACACAGAACUAGAUGUCCCUUCAAGAUCGCUGCCAAACUUGAUGUUUGGUUCUGAAAUGCCAUUCCUGGGAUCCCUGGGUGGCGCAGCGGUUUGGCGCCUGCCUUUGGGCCAGGGCGCGAUCCUGGAGACCCGGGAUCGAAUCCCACAUCGGGCUCCCGGUGCAUGGAGCCUGCUUCUCCCUCUGUCUAUGUCUCUGCGCCUCUCUCUCUCUCUGUGACUAUCAUAAAUAAAUUAAAUUAAAAAAAAAAAAAGAUUGAAAUGCCAUUCCUCUAGUCCUGAGAUCCUCCAGCACUGCAUCUUAAAAAGAUUUGUUGUUGUUCACCAAACACAUGACAGGGACCCAGGGCAGGGAGGGCAUCAAAGACUGAGGAGGCCCACAGGCACAGGGAGGUCUGCAGAGGGAUACGAGUGGGUGUGAAUGGCCCAGGUACCAGUUGAGGAGGGAUCCAUGUGAGGACCUGAGCCUCAGCUUCUUCUUCUCUAAAAUGGGACGAUAAUAGCUGCUAUCUGAUUGUGAUGAUUAAGUGAGAUAAUGCAUGCGGGUACUUGUAGGGGCAAACAGGGAGUGUUCAAUAAAUGUUUCCUGUUUUUGAUGGUGUUGCUGUGUUUGCAUGAACGUUGUUAUGCAGAGGAUCCCAGAUGUCGUGUUAAAAGGUUAGACACCGUCUUUUAGGCCAUGGAGUCAUGAAUGGGGGCCAUGAUCCCAUAUUCCGGGGGUAAUUCCUGCUAGUUUAGGGGAAGAAACACAAAAGACUAAUAAACAGAAGGAAAGAUCUUUGACUAUGUCAGUUAACCAGCGAAAUGAAGGUUUAAGCAAGAUACCAUUUUCUGAAGAAAAAAAAAAAAAGAUACCAUUUUCUGGUUUGGCAGAUUGUCAAAAAAUUGAAAAGAUUGAAGAUUUCUGAGGUUAGGGUCUGGGAAAACGGUAUUCUCAAAUUCUUGUCAGUAAUAAUGUUAAGUUCAUACAACCUGUUUAGAGCACAAUUCGGCAGAACUUCCCGAAGUUGUAAAGAGUCAUUCUAUGUGACCCAGAAGUUCUCCUUGAAGGCAUUUGUCCCAUAAAUCUCCUGCUAGUACAGGCGUCUGUGUGCAUGGAUGGUUAUUUAUUAUGACAUUUGAAAUAGCCAGCAGUUGUAGGUGCCUGACUGUCUAUCACUGGACAAACAGCUAACAUACCACGUACGUUCAUACCACGCUGUCCUUUGUGGCCAUCCAAAGAGGGGAGUGGCCUGGUACAAUGUCCGGAAGGAUGCCCAUGGUAGUGAAAGAAGCCUGACAACAUGAGAGUGUGUACAGCACCUGGGCGGCUCAGUUGGUGGAGUGUUCGACUCUUGAUCUCAGGUCUUGAUCUCAGGGUUGUGAGUUCAAGCCCCAUGUUGGGUGUGGAGCCUACUUUAAAAGAAAAGAAAAGAAAGAAAAGAAAAGAGAAAAGAAAAGAAAAGAAAAGAAAGAAGGAAGGAAGGAAAGAGAGAGAGAGAGAGAGAGAGAGAAAGAAAGAAAGAAAGAAAGAAAGAAAGAAAGAAAGAAAGAAAGAUCUUUAUAUGUAUAGAAAAAUAUACCCUGAACAGUUAAGCUGAUAGUUGGGAGUGAGGGCCCCUAAUGUUCUGUGUUAGAUGUUUGUGUUGUUUAAAAGUUUUUUGAUCCUUUGGAUGUCCACCCCUUCAUGUAUCUCUUUAAGUACCCAUACUGUCAUCACACCUCUGUCAGUUUGGCCCUCUGGGAUCAUUAUAAUAUAUAUAUCCUUGUUUAUUGUGGGUCCAUCCCCAUAGCAGUAUCCCCCCUCCAUUUCCACUGUUUGCCCCACGCUCAGGAAACUCAUACUGUCAACCAGGGUGUUCUUUGGGUUGUUUUAUUUAAAAAGGAUCAGGCUGGGGAUGCCUGGGUGGCUCAGCAGUUGAGCUUCUGCCUUUGGCUCAGGGCCUGAUCCUAGGGUCCUGGGAUCGAGUCCUGCGUUGGGCUCCCCACAGGGAGCCUGUUCUCCCUCUGCCUAUGUCUCUGCCUCUCUCUCUCUGUGUCUCUCAUGCAUAAAGUAUUUAAAACAAACAA